AACGAACGCUGGCGGCAUGCCUAACACAUGCAAGUCGAACGAGACCUUCGGGUCUAGUGGCGCACGGGUGCGUAACGCGUGGGAACCUGCCCUUAGGUUCGGAAUAACUCCCCGAAAGGGGUGCUAAUACCGGAUAAUGUCUUCGGACCAAAGAUUUAUCGCCUUUGGAUGGGCCCGCGUUGGAUUAGCUAGUUGGUAGGGUAAAAGCCUACCAAGGCGACGAUCCAUAGCUGGUCUGAGAGGAUGAUCAGCCACACUGGGACUGAGACACGGCCCAGACUCCUACGGGGGGCAGCAGUGGGGAAUAUUGGACAAUGGGCAAAAGCCUGAUCCAGCAAGGCCGGGUGAGUGAUGAAGGCCUUAGGGUUGUAAAGCUUUUUUACCCGGGAUGAUAAUGACAGGACCGGGAGAAAAAGCCCCGGCUAACUCCGU
rnacentral:rRNA from 1 species